rnacentral:rRNA from 1 species
CCUACGGGGGGCUGCAGUGGGGAAUAUUGGACAAUGGGCGAAAGCCUGAUCCAGCAAUGCCGCGUGAGUGAUGAAGGCCUUAGGGUUGUAAAGCUCUUUUACAAGGGAUGAUAAUGACAGUACAUGGAGAAUAAGCUCCGGCGAACUCCGUGCCAGCAGCAGCGGUAAUACGGAGGGAGCUAGCGUUGUUCGGAAUUACUGGGCGUAAAGCGCACGUAGGCGGUUUUUCAAGUCAGGGGUGAAAGCCCGGAGCUCAACUCCGGAAAUGACCGUGAAACUGGAUGACUAGAAUCUUGGAGAGGUCAGUGGAAUUCCGAGUGUAGAGGUGAAAUUCGUAGAUAUUCGGAAGAACACCAGUGGCGAAGGCGACUGACUGGACAAGUAUUGACGCUGAGGUGCGAAAGCGUGGGGAGCAAACAGGAUUAGAUACCCCUGUAGUC